AGCACAGGGCAAGCAAGCAGAGGA
rnacentral:piRNA from 1 species